AACGCGAAGAACCUUACCAGGGCUUGACAUCCUCUGUAAACUGCAGAAAUGCAGUCCCCAUAGCAAUAUGGCAGGGUGACAGGUGCUGCAUGGCUGUCGUCAGCUCGUGUCGUGAGAUGUUGGGUUAAGUCCCGCAACGAGCGCAACCCUCGUCGAGUGUUGCCAUCAUUCAGUUGGGCACUCACUCGAGACCGCCGUUGAUAAGACGGAGGAAGGUGGGGAUGACGUCAAGUCCGCAUGGCCCUUACGUCCUGGGCUACACACGUGCUACAAUGGCCGGUACAACGAGCAGCAAGACCGCGAGGUCAAGCGAAUCUCUUAAAGCCGGUCUCAGUUCGGAUCGAAGGCUGCAACUCGCCUUCGUGAAGUCGGAAUCGCUAGUAACUGCAGAUCAGCUACGCUGCGGUGAAUACGUUCCCGGGCCUUGUA
rnacentral:rRNA from 1 species